GAUGAACGCUGGCGGCGUGCCUAAUACAUGCAAGUCGAGCGAAUGGAUUAAGAGCUUGCUCUUAUGAAGUUAGCGGCGGACGGGUGAGUAACACGUGGGUAACCUGCCCAUAAGACUGGGAUAACUCCGGGAAACCGGGGCUAAUACCGGAUAACAUUUUGAACCGCAUGGUUCGAAAUUGAAAGGCGGCUUCGGCUGUCACUUAUGGAUGGACCCGCAUCGCAUUAGCUAGUUGGGGGGGUAACGGCUCACCAAGGCAGCGAUGCGUAGCCGGCCUGAGAGGGUGAUCGGCCACACUGGGACUGAGACACGGCCCAGACUCCUACGGGAGGCAGCAGUAGGGAAUCUUCCGCAAUGGACGAAAGUCUGACGGAGCAACGCCGCGUGAGUGAUGAAGGCUUUCGGGUCGUAAAACUCUGUUGUUAGGGAAGAACAAGUGCUAGUUGAAUAAGCUGGCACCUUGACGGUACCUAACCAGAAAGCCACGGCUAACUACGUGCCAGCCGCCGCCGUAA
rnacentral:rRNA from 1 species